rnacentral:rRNA from 1 species
GAUGAACGCUGGCGGCGUGCCUAAUACAUGCGAGUCGAGCGAACAGACGAGGAGCUUGCUCCUCUGACGUUAGCGGCGGACGGGUGAGUAACACGUGGAUAACCUACCUAUAAGACUGGGAUAACUUCGGGAAACCGGAGCUAAUACCGGAUAAUAUAUUGAACCGCAUGGUUCAAUAGUGAAAGACGGUUUUGCUGUCACUUAUAGAUGGAUCCGCGCCGCAUUAGCUAAUUGGUAAGGUAACGGCUUACCAAGGCGACGAUGCGUAGCCGACCUGAGAGGGUGAUCGGCCACACUGGAACUGAGACACGGUCCAGACUCCUACGGGAGGCAGCAGUAGGGAAUCUUCCGCAAUGGGCGAAAGCCUGACGGAGCAACGCCGCGUGAGUGAUGAAGGUCUUCGGAUCGUAAAACUCUGUUAUUAGGGAAGAACAAAUGUGUAAGUAACUAUGCACGUCUUGACGGUACCUAAUCAGAAAGCCACGGCUAACUACGUG